rnacentral:rRNA from 12 species
UUUUUUGUACAUAUAUACAUAUAUAUGCCCGAUCCCAUCCAAUCUCGGAGGCUAAGCAGAUACCUCAUCAGUACUUGGAUGGGAGACCACCUUCUGUGGGUUACGUCAGAAAGGAU